rnacentral:rRNA from 1 species
UACAGAGGGUGCGAGCGUUAAUCGGAAUUACUGGGCGUAAAGCGUGCGUAGACGGUUAUUUAAGUCAGGUGUGAAAGCCCCGGGCUCAACCUGGGAAUUGCAUUUGAGACUGAAUAGCUAGGGUGCGGAAGAGGGAAGCGGAAUUUCCAGUGUAGCGGUGAAAUGCGUAGAUAUCGGAAGGAACACCAGUGGCGAAAGCGGCUUCCUGUUCCAGCACCGACGUUCAGGCACGAAAGCGUGGGGAGCAAACAGG